rnacentral:SRP_RNA from 1 species
GCUGGGCAUGGUGGUGCAUGCCUGUAGUCCCAGCUACUUGGGAGGCUGAGGCAGGAGAAUCACUUGAACCCGGGAGGUGGAGGUUGCAGUGAGCCGGGAUCAUGCCACUGCACUCCCAUCUGGGUAACAGAGUGAGACUCCAUCUCAA